rnacentral:rRNA from 1 species
GUGUGCAAGUCAUUGGGUAUAAAUUGGAUGAAACCUAAAGGCAUAAUUAAAAUAACUAUAAAAAAUUUUUAAAUGGGAUUAUGAGUGAUCUAAUUUAUGUAUCAUUCUUCCAUCCCGGGGCGCUCAUAUAUAAACAUGAUUUAAGCAAUUGAAUUCUCUGUUUGUGAGCGUACCUUAAGCAUACAUGCUGUGACCCGAAAGAUGGUGAACUAUACCUGAUCAAGUUGAAGUCAGGGGAAACCCUGAUGGAGGACUGAAGCAGUUCUGACGUGCAAAUCGAUUGUCAGAGUUGGGUAUAGGGGCGAAAGACCAAUCGAACCAUCUAGUAGCUGGUUCCUUCCGAAGUUUCCCUCAGGAUAGCUGGUGCAAUGAAAAUUAUAUAAAUAUAAUCUUAUCUGGUAAAGCGAAUGAUUAGAGGCCUUGGGGUCGAAACGACCUCAACCUAUUCUCAAACUUUAAAUGGGUAAGAACCUCAUCUUUCUU